GGAAAUAGAUCAAUGGUAGAGCACAUGCUUAGAAUGCACGAGGUCCUGGAUUCAAUCCCCAGUACUUCCA
rnacentral:tRNA from 1 species